rnacentral:lncRNA from 1 species
GCAAAACUCAAGAGCUGAUUACCAAUAUAUGGGUGAUAUAUUACCAAUCGAUCGGUCAGCAAUAUUAUUGAAAUAAAAUUGCAAUAUUCUUGCCUAGUAUUGGUGAUUUAUUACCAAUAAUUUUUCGGAAGGGAAUGCUCUUCAAGUAAAGUGCUAUGAUUUUACCUAAGUUCUAUUAUCAUGUAAAAUCACAAUAAAAUAUUCCAACGAAAUUGUGUGAUCGGUCACUGGGUGAAUGAAGGGUCUGUUUGGAGGGAUAUGGGGGGGGGGGGGGGUUGACGCCGGCACGCUACGUCACACGUUCUCGUGAAAUUCCGACAAGUUCCGCGCAACUUCGUACUUGGUCCGCUUCCGUUCGUUCGUUCGUUUCGUUGGCCUUGGCCGUUCUCACUCGGGAAAUCUGUAAUGGCGGAAUUGUGAUGCUUGUGAUACAUGACAUGUGGAUUGAUUAUUUGUGAAGUGUUAUCGUGCAAAUUUCCUAUCAUCAUCGUAGCAUCUAUCAUGGCGGAGCAGGUUAAACUCUGGACGAUCGUGAAGCUCAGUGACACAGAGGAACUGGAUGUCUUACCGAACCUAUGGAUUGACAGAACAGACAACAAGGCAGAAUACCCCGAAGGGACCCGGGCCCUUGUAACCAAAUUCGCAAAAAAUGUAGAAGAUCCUACAAAGAACAAAAAACUGCCUUUCGGCAGUGUAGAUUGGGAAAUGGUUCCUAUUGAAAUUAUCGAAGAAGACUAUGAUGACUUUCAAGUAGCCAUGGAAGACGCAAUAAGGUUUACUCAAGGCAAAAGGUCCAAAGCGGAAUCGGAGAAAGAGACAGGAAGAGGUCGGCGUAUCAAAAAAUCUAAAAGACUCAUAUCUUCCUCAGAAACAGACGACAGUUCAGGAGAACAGACUCCGCCAGGCCCCAAGCAGAGGAGCACCAAAACUCGACGACCCAUCCCGGAGUUCACUCCUCAACCGGUGCCUAAAGCACCACUCAUUUUUUCGAAAGAGAAUCCUUUAGACAAACCGGAGAGGAUGCAGUCACCGUCCCCUAGCAGUAGCAAAGUAGUUACAGCCAAAAAACCAUCACACAGUCAAAGCACAGAAAAAAAGGCACAGAAGCUGUCAUGCCCACUAAAGAAGAAUAAGAAACACAAUUGUGCCUGUGUGAAAGCACCCUCUCUGCCAGAGAUGGCUAGUGCGCUGUGUAUAUCCUCUCACGAGAUGUCCAAAGACUACGAGAGCUGUAUGAAAAGACUUCAUCUAUAA